rnacentral:rRNA from 1 species
GACGAACGCUGGCGGCAUGCCUAAUACAUGCAAGUCGAGCGGAGUUGAUGGAAAGCUUGCUUUCCUGAUACUUAGCGGCGGACGGGUGAGUAACACGUAGGCAACCUGCCCUCAAGCUUGGGACAACUACCGGAAACGGUAGCUAAUACCGAAUACUUGUUUUCUUCGCCUGAAGAGAACUGGAAAGACGGAGCAAUCUGUCACUUGGGGAUGGGCCUGCGGCGCAUUAGGUAGUUGGUGAGGUAACGGCUCACCAAGGCGACGAUGCGUAGCCGACGUGGGAGGGUGAUCGGCCACGCUGGGACUGAGACACGGCCCAGACUCCUACGGGAGGCAGCAGUAGGGAAUCUUCCGCAAUGGGGGAAAGCCUGACGGAGCAAUGCCGCGUGAGUGAUGAAGGUUUUCGGAUCGUAAGGCUCUGUUGCCAGGGAAGAACGCUUGGGAGAGUAACUGCUCCCAAGGUGACGGUACCUGAGAAGAAAGCCCCGGCUAACUACGUGCCAGCAGCCGCCGCAG